rnacentral:lncRNA from 1 species
AUAAAAUAAAAGCUUGUUGCCCCAGCAUGGAGCAAUUUGUCAAAUAUGAUGCACCGACAGGAGACCUGCAGAGGGAAUUGUCAAAAUUCCCUGAACUUUAGCAAUGUGCUCUGCAUACCUCAACUCACCAAACUAAGAAUUUAUUUAAAGUGAAAGAGGAAAAAAAGGUUGCUGGACGUGCCUUAACUUCCUGUUAUUAUUUCUGUUGUGGUAGUACCUUGAGUUCCCAGGCUGGGGAUCAGGGCUUCAUUGUGCUAGGUGUGGUACAUAGAUAUCGUAAUAAGACAAUGCCUCCCCUUAUAUGCAUCUGCACAUAUGAUGAGAAAACAGCAGGUGGAUAAAAUUAAAAAAACUGGGGAGUGAUGACAAGGUGAAACUGUCCUAAUUAAUGAAUAAACAGAUGUGUCAGCCUGGCUACUAAGGUCUUUUAACACAUGUUGCUAAAGUUGUGGUGACAUUGGCAAUUUCCUUUGCAGGUUCAGCUUGAGUAGGUGUGAAAAUAUCAAGAGAGUCACUGUUCAUCUCACAUCUGUUGUGCUCUGGAUAACAAAGGUUAGCGGCAUAGCCAUGCUUGAUUAUUUUCACAAUGCUAGCCAGCCUCUGCAAUGAGUGCUGGAGUGAUUAUUCGAUCCUAGCAACAGGCACUAGCAGAGUAUGCAGCAGCACCAUGCCAGCUGGUCUCACAGCACAAGAGCAAGCACACUGAGGGCUGCCUGGAGAAGGGGGCAGAAGAAGGGAGGCAGUGCCAACAAGUCUAAACCAGCCAGAACAGGAAAUAUUCAUGUUCACAGUGAGUGUCUCCAUCUGCAGCUGUUUGAAAACUGAGAGUUCCUACUGGAUCCUCACUCUGGAAAAAAGGGUGGAUAUUCAGGAAUACAGCACCUCCUUUCCAGGAACUGAAUGGAUAUUCUCUUCAUGCAUUUGAAAUCUUGAUCCUUCCCCACUGGGAAUUCUCUAGAU